AAAGACAUUAUUUUUAAAAGCAUGGUUCAAUGAUAAAGAUAAUGUUAAUGGAAAGCUAGAUACAUAUUUUUCUCAUAAAAGUAAUUUCCAAAUGGAAAAAUAUCUUGAUAUUCAAAGUUUUCAAUCAAGACAAAUUUUAUGUAAAUUUCGCAUAAGUGCUCACCAAUUAAGAGUAGAAAAAGAGCGACAUAAGAACAAACCUAUAGAAAGGUCACAGAGGACUUGUAAUUUUUGUUCUCAUAAUGAUAUUGAAGAUGAGUUUCAUUUUUUAAUUAACUGUCCAUUGUAUAAUCAAUGUAGAGAAUCACUGUUUGCACAAGCUCAUGAACACUGUCAAAAUUUCAAUAACUUGGACUGCAAAUCAAAAUUUUUAUGGUUAAUGACCACUGAAGAUCAACAUAUACUGAAAAAGUUAUGCAUUUUUCUUAUCCAGAGUUUUCAAUUGAGAUCCACAAAUUCUGUUAAUGGCUAAAUCUCUUUUAGUUUAUCUAUAUAUAUAUUAUAUUUUAAAUUCAAAAAUUUAAUUUAAGUGCACAUUUCUCUAUGUGUAUGCAUAUUUCUUCUAUUAUUAUGUAAAUGCUUAUAAACAAACUGCAGUAAAACUCUAAGGUGCUUUAUCAUAUUCCUGCAAUUGUCAAAAAAUAUAAUUAUAUACAUAAAUAUCUAGUAAUUGGUUGCUGUGUGUACAUGGGAGAAAAAUACCCUUAUAUCUAAUCACUUGAGGCUGCAUAUCAUUUGUAUGCAACUCAAAACACCAUAUCUGUUUAAAGGGGAAUAAUCCUUACAGAAAUUGAUUGAUUGUCUCCCAUAUUACUUUCUAUUCCAUGUGCAUGCAAUAACUGUUCAGAGUUCUAUUGUCAUGUAUUUCAUUUUAUUAUUUCAUUGUUAUAACAAAUCAUUGUAAUCAUUGUAUGAAAUUUAAAACCCGCAAGGGUCCAUAAUUGGAUUAAUAAAGUA
rnacentral:lncRNA from 1 species